CCUACGGGAGGCAGCAGUGAGGAAUAUUGGUCAAUGGACGAGAGUCUGAACCAGCCAAGUAGCGUGAAGGAUGACUGCCCUAUGGGUUGUAAACUUCUUUUAUAUGGGAAUAAAAUGUUCCACGUGUGGGAUUUUGUAUGUACCAUAUGAAUAAGGAUCGGCUAAAUCCGUGCCAGCAGCCGCGGUAAUACGGAGGAUACGAGCGUUAUCCGGAUUUAUUGGGUUUAAAGGGAGCGUAGGUGGAUUGUUAAGUCAGUUGUGAAAUUUUGCGGCUCAACCGUAAAAUUGCAGUUGAAACUGGCAGUCUUGAGUACAGUAGAGGUGGGCGGAAUUCGUGGUGUAGCGGUGAAAUGCUUAGAUAUCACGAAGAACUCCGAUUGCGAAGGCAGCUCACUGGACUGCAACUGACACUGAGGCUCGAAAGUGUGGGUAUCAAACAGGAUUAGAUACCCUUGUAGUC
rnacentral:rRNA from 1 species